rnacentral:misc_RNA from 1 species
AGACCACACUUGGGCUUCUGUCCAGCGUUGGGGAUCCGCCCAGGCGGUCCCUUAAAUUCACCGGCGGAGUCGCGGUGGCCUCUAAGCGUAGUACUUGCUCUCGCUUCUGACGGCGCCGCGCCCCCUGCCGUAAAACCCCCAAUUUUUCU